rnacentral:rRNA from 1 species
CCUACGGGAGGCAGCAGUAAGGAAUAUUGGUCAAUGGACGCAAGUCUGAACCAGCCAUGCCGCGUGAAGGAUUAAGGCCCUCUGGGUUGUAAACUUCUUUUAUAGGGGACGAAAAAAGGGCAUUCUUGCUCACUUGACGGUACCCUAGGAAUAAGCACCGGCUAACUCCGUGCCAGCAGCCGCGGUAAUACGGAGGGUGCAAGCGUUAUCCGGAUUUACUGGGUUUAAAGGGUGCGUAGGUGGGUUGGUAAGUCAGUGGUGAAAUCUUCGAGCUUAACUCGGAAACUGCCAUUGAUACUAUCAAUCUUGAAUCAUCUAGAGGUAAGCGGAAUAUGUCAUGUAGCGGUGAAAUGCUUAGAUAUGACAUAGAACACCAAUUGCGAAGGCAGCUUACUAUGGAUGCAUUGACACUGAGGCACGAAAGCGUGGGGAUCAAACAGGAUUAGAUACCCUGGUAGUCCACGCCCUAAACGAUGGAUACUCGACAUUUGUGAUAUACAAUAAAGUGUNUGAGNGAAGACAUAAGUAAUCCACCUCGGAAGACGACCGCGAAGUAGUAAACGUUAAAGUAAGUAGUAGACGNGNGAGAGCGACGACGACGACGACGGAGGGAGGAG